UGCUCCUAGACAUUGAGCUUGUGGGGUUGCCUGUCAGCCCUUCCCCACAGCUUCCAAGCCUGUUGGUGGAUAAAUCCCACAGAAAUGAUCUGUAGGUUAUUCUCUGAAAUGUGCAACCAGGUAGUAGAGAAAGAAUAUGUGUUGCGUGUCGAUGGGAUCACAGGAGUUUGCAACCACUGGAAGAGGGGGAGUGUGGAGCCUGCAAGCAGCCCUGUGGCAAGCCCCAGAGAGGAAGUGAAUGAAGUUUGCAAAUCGUCUUUGGACCAAAUGCAGUGAAUCUGGCUGUGCCUCCUAUGUGGAGCUGAACUAGAGCAGUGUCCCAAGGAGCAGUGCUUGUGCUCAACUCCCAGACCC